rnacentral:rRNA from 1 species
GAUGAACGCUGGCGGCGUGCCUAAUACAUGCAAGUCGAGCGAACGGACGAGAAGCUUGCUUCUCUGAUGUUAGCGGCGGACGGGUGAGUAACACGUGGAUAACCUACCUAUAAGACUGGGAUAACUUCGGGAAACCGUAGCUAAUACCGGAUAAUAUUUUGAACCGCAUGGUUCAAAAGUGAAAGACGGUCUUGCUGUCACUUAUAGAUGGAUCCGCGCUGCAUUAGCUAGUUGGUAAGGUAACGGCUUACCAAGGCAACGAUGCAUAGCCGACCUGAGAGGGUGAUCGGCCACACUGGAACUGAGACACGGUCCAGACUCCUACGGGAGGCAGCAGUAGGGAAUCUUCCGCAAUGGGCGAAAGCCUGACGGAGCAACGCCGCGUGAGUGAUGAAGGUCUUCGGAUCGUAAAACUCUGUCAUUAGGGAAGAACAUAUGUGUAAGUAACUGUGCACAUCUUGACGGUACCUAAUCAGAAGCCACGGCUAACUACGUG